rnacentral:lncRNA from 1 species
AAUUAGCACAUUUAUAACCCUACUGAGUUCUUAAGGGAAUAAAAGAUACCGGCUCAGUUUGUCAAGAACAUGUUAACACGCUCGUUGGUCAUUUAUCUGCGCUACCACCAUGGGGUUAAUUAACAGAUACUUAUUUAUUUGCGGCAUCACACGGUAUUAACAUUUGAGGUCAAUUUCCUAUCACUAUAAUUGGUCAAUUUUAUUAGCGAAUCGUUGAAUUUGUAAAACUCGUCCAAUUAAUGCCAAUGUGACAAUGGCACCAACCCGUUCCUUCGGUGCAAAGCUAUAGAUGGAACGGCGGACCAG